UCAGUGUGGAAAAACUUUCAGCCAGAGAGGAAACCGAAAUAUACACCGACGCAUUCACAGCAGACAUGAUGUGUACUGCUGUGAUCAGUGUGGCAAAUACUUUGCUACAGACACACAGUUACAAUGACACACGUUUACCCACACUGAGGGACGACCUUAUGAAUGUGACCUGUGUGAGAAGACUUUUAAAUCUCCACAUUCCCUGAGACGACACCAACAGAUCCACACCAGAAAGAGACUCUACAAGUGCUACUGUGAGAAGCAGAGCGACACAGAUGGAUCCAGUUCUCAACCCUGUCAUCGCUGUGGUGGUGGGAAAGACUUUUGUUGUGACAUCUGUGGAAAAACUUUCAGUCAGCAAGCCGGCCUAAAAAUACAUCAACAUAGACACACUGGAGACAAACUGAAAUACUGCAAAGAAUGUGGGAGAAGCUUCACCACAUCACGUGACUUAAAAAAACAUGAACUGAUUCACAGUGGGGUUAAAAAGCACCUCUGUGAUCAGUGUGGGUCAUCCUUCACCACUGCAUGGGAGCUUAAAACACACAAACGAGUCCACACAGGAGAGAAACCGUACAAGUGCAGACACUGUGACAGAAGCUUCUCACACUCAAAUGGUCGUAACUAUCAUGAACGUGCACACAUGGAAGGAAACUACAGCUGUGAUCAGUGUGACAAGAGCUUCAGGAAUCUCAGUUCAUACUCCAAACACAAACGAUCCCACGUUACUAAUAAACUGUUUCACUAUUACCAAUGUGCCCAAACAUUCACCUCAUUGUCUGCUCUGUGCAAACAUCAGCGUGAUCACUCAGGGCUGAAAUCACUCCCAUCACAGUGAAUCUGAAGAGACAGAAAGAUCCUCUGGUUUCAGAGUCAGACUCAAAAAGCUUGAGUUCAUUGUUCUCCAGCAAAACGUUUUGGAAACUCAUGUUUAACCUGUAAAUCUCUGACAUGUUUUAGCACACAAGGCUUCAUCGGGGAGUUCACUCAUGAUUGGAGAAUAAAGGUUUUUAGUUCUUUCAAAGAGACUCUUGGAGCUGUUUGAUGUUUUUGUUUUUCUGAAACCACCUGAAAGAAAAACUAUUUUUCUUGCUUUAUGUAGUGUGGAAGUUUUUAAUGUUUCUUUCAUCUGUGAUGUUCUUGAAUGUGUUCACAUGAAGCUGGUACAAAUAAACUGUCCUUUUAGCUUUA